GGGUGAAAAGUAAUUCGCCUGAAGAUGAGCUCGCGUCAGAUUAGCUAGUUGGUGGGGUAGAGCCUACCAGGCGACGAUCUGGUAGCCCNUUUUGGGGGNUUCCUGAGAGGAUGAUCAAGCCACACUGGGACUGAGACACGGGCCCAGACUCCUACGGGNAGGCAGCAGUGGGGAAUUUUCCUGCAAUUGGGCGCAAGCNNCUGACGGAGCAAGACCCGCGUGGGGGAUGACGGCCUAAUGGUUGUAAACCCCUUUUCUCCUGGGGAAGAAGGACUUGACUGGUACCCCAGAAGGGAAAAAAUCAGCCUUCGUGCUAACUCCGCUGCCAGCAGCCGCGGUAAUACGGAGGAGGCAAGCGUUAUCCGGAAUUAUUGGGCGUAAAGCGUCCGUAGGUGGUUAUUCAAGUCUGCUGUCAAAGCGUGGGGCUUAACUCCAUAGAGGCAGUGGAAACUGAGUGACUAGAGUGCGGUAGGGGUCGAGGGAAUUCCCAGUGUAGCGUGUGAAAUGCGUAGAUUUGGGAAGAACACCAGUGGCGAAAGCGCUCGACUGGGCCGCACUGACACUGAGAGACGAAAGCUAGGGGAAGCGAAAGGGAUUAAGAUACCCCUGU
rnacentral:rRNA from 1 species